GAUGAACGCUAGCGGCAGGCUUAAUACAUGCAAGUCGAGGGGCAGCAUGAGUGUAGCAAUACAUUUGAUGGCGACCGGCAAACGGGUGCGGAACACGUACACAACCUUCCUAUAAGUGGGGAAUAGCCCAGAGAAAUUUGGAUUAAUACCCCGUAACAUAAUGAUGUGGCAUCACAUUAUUAUCAUAGCUUCGGCGCUUAUUGAUGGGUGUGCGGCUGAUUAGAUAGUUGGCGGGGUAACGGCCCACCAAGUCUACGAUCAGUAGCUGAUGUGAGAGCAUGAUCAGCCACACGGGCACUGAGACACGGGCCCGACUCCUACGGGAGGCAGCAGUAAGGAAUAUUGGUCAAUGGACGCAAGUCUGAACCAGCCAUGCCGCGUGAAGGAUUAAGGUCCUCUGGAUUGUAAACUUCUUUUAUCUGGGACGAAAAAAGGCUAUUCUUAGUCACUUGACGGUACCAGAUGAAUAAGCACCGGCUAACUCCGUGCCAGCAGCCGCGGUAAGAC
rnacentral:rRNA from 1 species